rnacentral:rRNA from 1 species
CCAGAGAACUUUCCAGAGAUGGAUUGGUGCCUUCGGGAACUCUGAGACAGGUGCUGCAUGGCUGUCGUCAGCUCGUGUUGUGAAAUGUUGGGUUAAGUCCCGCAACGAGCGCAACCCUUUAUCCUUUGUUGCCAGCGGUUAGGCCGGGAACUCAAAGGAGACUGCCAGUGAUAAACUGGAGGAAGGUGGGGAUGACGUCAAGUCAUCAUGGCCCUUACGAGUAGGGCUACACACGUGCUACAAUGGCGCAUACAAAGAGAAGCGACCUCGCGAGAGCAAGCGGACCUCAUAAAGUGCGUCGUAGUCCGGAUUGGAGUCUGCAACUCGACUCCAUGAAGUCGGAAUCGCUAGUAAUCGUGGAUCAGAAUGCCACGGUGAAUACGUUCCCGGGCCUUGUACACACCGCCCGUCACACCAUGGGAGUGGGUUGCAAAAGAAGUAGGUAGCUUAACCUUCGGGAGGGCGCUUACCACUUUGUGAUUCAUGACUGGGGUGAAGUCGUAACAAGGUAGGCGUAGAUGA